GAAAUGCGAUAAGUAAUGUGAAUUGCAGAAUUCAGUGAAUCAUCGAAUCUUUGAACGCACAUUGCACCCGAUGGCAUUCCGGUGGGCAGGCCUGUCGGAGCGUCAUUUCUGCCCUCAAGCGCGGCUUGUUGGUUGAGUGUGGUCCCCCCGAUGUCAGGGGGGACCUGCCCGAAAGGCAGUGGCGGCGCCCGCCUUCGGUCCUCGAGCGUAUGGGGCUAUGUCACCCGCUCGGGAGGGGCCUGCGGGCGUUGGUCAUCCCCCCCUAUUUUUCCACGGUUGACCUCGGAUCAGGUAGGAGUUACCCGCUGAACUUAA
rnacentral:misc_RNA from 1 species